AUUAACGACUGCAAUGGGAUAAUAGGAUCCGAGACCGCUAUAAAGGAUAAAAUAGGCUCUCCUAUUUAACUCCUAUCCGGACGCCCCUGUUCGUGUAGAGUGGAAUCAUAUGUCACCAUAUACACGG
rnacentral:ribozyme from 1 species